UACGUAGGGGGCGAGCGUUGUCCGGAUUUAUUGGGCGUAAAGAGCUCGUAGGCGGUUUGGUAAGUUGGAUGUGAAAUCUCCAGGCUCAACUUGGAGGGGUCAUUCGAUACUGCCAUGACUAGAGUUCGGUAGGGGAGUGUGGAAUUCCUGGUGGAGCGGUGAAAUGCUCAGAUAUCAGGAGGAACACCCGUAGCGAAGGCGGCACUCUGGGCCGGAACUGACGCUGAGGAGCGAAAGCGUGGGGAGCGAACAGG
rnacentral:rRNA from 1 species